rnacentral:rRNA from 1 species
UCUACGGGCGGCAGCAGUGAGGAAUAUUGGUCAAUGGGCGAGAGCCUGAACCAGCCAAGCCGCGUGAGGGAGUACUGCCCUAUGGGUUGUAAACCUCUUUUGUCGGGGAGCAAAAGCCGGACGUGUCCGGCUGUCGGAGUACCCGUAGAAAAAGCGUCGGCUAACUCAGUGCCAGCAGCCGCGGUAAUACGGGGGAUGCGAGCGUUAUCCGGUUUUAUUUGGUGUAAAGGGUGCGCAGGCGGAAUUUUAAGUCAGCGGUCAAAGCGUGGGGCUCAACCCCAUCCAGCCGUUGAAACUGGGGAUCUAGAGUGUGCGAGAGGUAUGCGGAAUGCGUGGUGUAGCGGUGAAAUGCAUAGAUAUCACGCAGAACCCCGAUUGCGAAGGCAGCAUACCGGUGCACAACUGACGCUGAGGCACGAAAGCGUGGGUAUCGAACAGGAUUAGAUACCCGUGUAGUC